ensembl:lincRNA
CCUCACCCUCUGCUUCAGAAUCACAUUUGGGAGAAUUUACUUUGACUGAUCACAGCUUGCAGGGAUCAUUUGUUUGUAUGGAUCUAAUCUUAUGUUUCAAAAGCCAUUUCCUAUCAGUGAUGAUGUGUCUACCCCUUCUUACAUUGAUUUGCAAAGAGCAAUGUAGAAACGCAUCUUUUACUUUUCUUUGAGGCUUGCCUAAAGGAAAAAAAAUAUCUCUCUCCUCACUUCUCCCCAACCCCAGGAAGAAUCAGUCACUGAAGAUAAAAGAUAUCACACCUACUAAGAAAUCUGAUGAAAGCAAAUUGUCACCCUAUUGACGUAUUGAGAUGGCAAAUCACACACUGCAUUUCCUAGGCCCCAGCAACAUGAAUGUUUUUCUUUCUUGGACUGUAUCUGGAAUUGCUGUCUGCUGCGUGGGCAUGGCCAGCAUGGAAGAGACGGCAGCUCCAAGAUGGAAGACAGAGCCGCCUGGACCAGGAACGUCACAGGAGCCAUGUGCAUAUGCGGAAUUGGUCUGUAUGCUGGAGCAGGUGACAGGCCUUGUAUGGUUACUGCUGGAAAGAUGCAAGAUUGAGUAACUCAAGAAAAACCAAGCUGAAGGAGGAUCUGGAAGAAGACUGGGAGGUCGUAGAAGUCAAAGCAAAAAAGGAAAAGAAUCAACACAAGAGAUUCAGCUGAGACAAGGCAGGUCAGAAAGAACAAUGGGAACAGAGGAAGAACAAGGCUAGAUAUGGAAUUUUUCUCCCUAUUACCUUUAAAUGUUGGAAACUCUCCUCCUCUUAGGAUUGACGAUUUUUGUCUAGGGUUGAUUAUUUUUGUUAGCCAAGAAUAGGUAUUUAGGAGUAAGUACUUCCUGGGAUCUUAUUAUUUGAUCUAACACUAUUAGGAUUUGGUUCAAUCUUUAAGAAAGCCUUGUCCUUUACUAGUAUUAUUAUAUUGAGUAAGAGAUUCGUGUUGCUCCCUCCAUUCCUCAUUUUCUCCUUUUUGAAUGGAUCACUGUCUAUGUUUCAUCCUCACAUGGGAGUCUCCCUGAAUCCCUGGUCAUUUGAAAUGAAAUUGUCUUGAUGUUCUUCUGCCUGGCCUUGGGGGUUAGGGAUGGAUUAUAAUGUGGGAGUUUUUCUUGGUUAGCACCAGACUCCCAGGAGUACCCUGGUUCUUGACCCCCAGUCUAAACUCUUCCCCUUGUGCCAUACUGUCUCCGGCUUUGAGUUAAAGACCAUGAAGGCCUAGACACCCUGGGCCCUCUCAAGUUGCUCCCUCCUGCCUUGUUAGAGCUUAUCUAGUAACUGUGGCAAUGAUUUGCAAAUUAUAGUGUAAUAAAUUCUUAAUCCAGUUUUAUUUUAACAUCUUCAUUAAUUAUGUGGAAGAGGGAGACACCGCCUGCUAAUUAAAUUUUCAGAUGUUGCUAAAUUGGGAGGAGUUGCAAACCCAGCUGAGAGCCAGACGGCAACACAAAGGAAUCUGGAGAUGUUCUUGGGGGGUGCAGGUAGAGGACGGGGAUGAAACUGGAAACAAAGACGUGGAGGAGGUCAUCCAGAGAGGAGAAAUAGCGGCUCCAUGAUCCCAGAGGCUGGGAGCAGCCCAGGGAACCAGCUCAGUCAUAAGCUGUGAUGGAGUGAUGACAGGAGGGUCAGGCUGGACAGGGUGAUGGAUUUCCAUUUUCUCUUCCCAGAAAGGAGCCAGGUCUCCUCUCUGGUAACUGUCUGAUGGCUUCAAGCCUAAUGCAUUUGAUCAAAAUGACCUGUGAAAGCAAUAGGAAGGAGAUCCUCAAGAACUCAGGAGGUGCACAAAGCUUUGCUUCUGGCUACUUGCAUUCUCAGGGUGCCUCAACCUGGCUGACCACAUACAGUUGGGAAAGAUUAAAGUAGUUAAUGUAUGUGAAAUGGGUUUAGAAAAAUUAAAAGCACUAUG